UACGGAGGGUGCGAGCGUUAAUCGGAAUAACUGGGCGUAAAGGGCGCGUAGGCGGGUGUUUAAGUGAGAGGUGAAAUCCCGGGGCUCAACCUGGGAAUUGCAUUUGAGACUGGGCGUCUUGAGUCCUGAAGAGGGGAGGAGAAUUCCGCGUGUAGAGGUGAAAUUCGUAGAUAUGUGGAGGAAUACCGGAGGCGAAGGCGGCCCUCUGGUACGGUACUGACGCUCAGGCGCGAAAGCGUGGGGAGCAAACAGG
rnacentral:rRNA from 1 species